GUCGCGAUGCCAGAGUGGUUAAUGGGUCAGACUUGAAUGCCGUAUUUGAGCGUUUGGAUAUCUGAUGGCUUCGGCCUCGCAAGUUCGAAUCUUGUUCGCGACG
rfam:Xylona heveae TC161 unplaced genomic scaffold L228scaffold_14, whole genome shotgun sequence.